rnacentral:lncRNA from 1 species
ACUACUUGGCAUAGAACAAAUCAGCUCUUUAUUACAAAUGACAGAAAUACAAGGUUCCGAUAUCACAAUGAAUUACAUCGGCAUGGCAACACUAUGCCUUCUUAGGUAGCUCUAUGCUUAUAGAAAAACAAAUCAAAGCAACGGAAUAACUUCUAGCAAGGGAACAACGACGACACUGGUGAAAUCAACUCUACAAGGACUCUGGCUGGAAUGCUUAUCCUUGAUCACCAACUCGUCAGGCAAUCAAUCAUGGCAUGACCUGCAAACUGGCAUGACACACGAGGUGAGUACUUUGAAUCUACUCACGAGCUCACAACGACCAACGCAAUCAAGACCAACAACAAUAUGGCAUUUACAAGUUGAAGAUUAAUGACGAGCAUGAUACACCUAGAGCAACACGGCAUAUACAUGGUGAAAAAAAAUACCGCUAGAACAACAUCUGAUGAGCAUGGCAUGAACAUGUUACUCAAGCCAUGAACAAAGAUGAUACUAGCAUGCACCAUGGUUAAACUUAUAUAUCAACUUACUCUGAUCGGGGUUAUCUCGUAACCACCACAUGUAUCCAAAAUAUUAACUAACCUCGGUAUCCAUGAUACUACUUUAAUCUUCUGAUGAUCAAAUAAAGAUCAACCAACUUCUUUCUCAUCAAACAAGGGUUGUUUAUUAAGUAUAUUAUUAUUAUUGUUAACUCAUAGUGUGACCUACUACAAACUGGGCCCAUAUCCGUGGGUGUGGCUAUUGAUAGAUUAUACAUACUCUGUAGAGGUUGGUACACUGUACCUACACCACAAAACCCAAGGCCUCACGCACCUAUUUGGGUGGACUAGCGGCAUUCCGAGAGAACCAAUAUAUUGCAUGACACUCCCCCGGCCACUUCGACAAACUCCCAUUUGGGCUAAGUCAUGGGUGGCUCCGAUGCCACUCUAGACAUCCAAUGGCCAUCAUCGUGGCAAAACAGAAAUGGUACCAAACGGGUACAAUGGUACCAUAGAAAAACAACGGGCCUUGGACGCCUACCUCAUCAGGGUAGCGCGCACAUAACCUUCCCUAGUUGGAGGAACCAAUGAGAGGCAUGCCAAUCGACUGCAUUAAGGCCUUCCCAUACAGGCAAGUGUGGAUGCACUGGUCAGCUCGACUCGAUGGCACUAUGACUCAGCCAACAUUUGUUCAUGUUCAGUUAAUAUCCGGUUGAACUUGUAAAGUAAUGAGCUAAGUCAUAAUAAAAAUAACAGGAUGAAUAGACAAUUCAUAUGAGCAUGACAUAAGAAUGAACAUGUAUGUGAAGUAUAACAAUUUCACAUGUGAAGCAUUAGCAUCGACAAUAAUAACGAACUUAGUCUAGUGGAUGCACAUGAACAUGAUAGAGUAAUGAUCAUGCAGAUCACAAGUGCUUUUCAUAACUGGCGAUAUUCGUGCAUCGAAGGAACACUACUAUCACGAGCAUGUAAUAAGAACAAGCAUGAGAUAUGAUAAUAAUACUACCAAGUAGCCACGGAACUAACAGGGUGCACAAGCACAAAGCAUGAAGAUGAUCGAUUCCACAAGCAUACAGAAAUACUAGUAGAGCAAACAGUUGUUAAAUAUUGAAGUAGAAAACAAUGGUUACUACAAGAUCACAAUACAAGUGGAUGCCGUGGCUUGCCCGGGGAUAAAGGAUUCACCGGAAGGAAGUGCAAGGAACUCGCGGAACGAUUCGCAAGAAAAUUAUCUCUCGCAAAGGGGGCUUAACAAGGGCAAGGGAAAAAUUGUCAUUUUUAGUAUGUGACAAUAUAGUGAAAAUAGUACCAAAGGAACGAACUUGAUGAGACGAAAAUGUGGGCUUUGGAAUUACCUCAAUCGGAGUUACUAUUAAAAAGAUAUGGUGGUUUGUUUGUUAGGAGAAAAACAAAUAAAAAAUUGUGUUUUUUUGUUGCUAACGGGUGAACACCCACUAUUUAACCACUUCGGCCAACGGACCUGGGUUGAAAACGCCUUUCUUGAAAUACACUUUAAGUUAGAGAAAACACACUCGCGUUCGAGGCUGAAGCAAGAAAAAGCCUUGACCACGGAAAUACGCGCUCGUGCAAAAAUGCCUUCACUUACGGCAACGGGCCAGUCCGGUAAGCGGACCUGCGGCUGGCGCGCGGGCCUUCUCACUUCUCUCUCCUUCGAUUGUCUUCUUCCGCUCGCUGGGGUCAAAGGGGCUCGGGCACCGGCGCACCUGUCACCUUACUACUCCAAAGGGCCGCCAACGUGCGUGGCGGCACCGCAGCUCCUCUCCACGACUGAUGGUAGCCAAGGGAGCGACUCCGGCGACCUACAGUGUCGUAGCCACUAAGGGGGCCGAGGUGGACGGAGGUCUCCUGGCGAGCGGCGCUGGCAGGGCCUCCUUGGAGGAAUGGAGGGCGAUGGUAGCUCUGCGGGGUCCAGGGGGUCUCCGCACACGUAGAAGAAACGAGGGGGAGGGCUACUGGGAGGAUUUGACCACGUUGAUCGAUGGCGGACGGCUUGGCUAUUGGGGAAAAGGGGCGCUCCAGGAGCUUGGGGAACGGCUGCAGAGUGGUGGGAGAGCUAUGGCACGCUAUAAAUAGCGCCAGGUAGAGCUCGGGAAGGCUCUGGCGGACCUUGGGCAAUUAUCCAUGGAGUAGGCAGGGCGGCCAGGUCACGGGCGCGGCUAGAGCAUCGCGUAGGAUGUGACCUGAGAGGGGGAGAGGGUUCCAGCGCAAGGCGAGACCAAGACGGAGCUGCUAGACAUGAUUAGGUGUCGAUGGCUCGAAAAAACAGACGAUGGGGAGGGGCCAACUGCCAGAGCACGGACAAGGGCAUGUCGGACACCUAGUCACCGCACGAACGCGGCGGUGACACGCGCUAUGAUCAGCCAAACCUUUUCUAGGCGAUUGGUCAUUCACGAGUGAGUGUCAAAGUACAAAUGAACAAGCACAUGGACUCAAGAUGUGACCACAGCUUGCUAGAAG